UACGAAGGGGGCUAGCGUUGUUCGGAAUUACUGGGCGUAAAGCGCGCGCAGGCGGUUCUUUUAAGUCAGGGGUGAAAGCCCAGAGCUCAACUCUGGAAUUGCCUUUGAAACUAGAGAACUUGGGUACGGGAGAGGUGAGUGGAAUUCCGAGUGUAGAGGUGAAAUUCGUAGAUAUUCGGAAGAACACCAGUGGCGAAAGCGGCUCA
rnacentral:rRNA from 1 species